rnacentral:misc_RNA from 1 species
ACAUUAUUGCAAUAUCAGUGUGGUGGCUAAAUUUAAUUGUUGUCUCCGAAGUGCGGAAAUAGCAUGGUCAAACAUUUCUGCGAUUCGGAAAUGUUUCCGUGUUGGAAACGUUGGAACAUGGCAAGGAAACGUGUCUGGGCCGUGUCCAUAAAUUGCGAAAGUUGGACACACAUUUCCUCUGGGGACUGACUAGGUAAGAACUGUCAAAGUCAGUAA